UGGGUGAGGGGACAUUUGCUCACCACUGAAGUGCUAAGGGCACAAACACACAGUGGCCAAGGAAGUGAGGAACCAGCCGCGAGGGUUCUGCUUGCAGAAAGCUCCCUGGAGCCUCAGGCAAGUCCUUUCACAUCUCAGGGAGGAUUUCUCAGCUGUUAAAGGCAUGGCUGAACCAGAUUAAGAUCCCUCCCAGUUCUUCUAGUCCUGCACUCUCAGUGGCUUGAGUAUGAAGGGCCCAGUUCCAGGCAGAGCACCACUCCAAGGCCGCAGCUUCAGCUCCGCACGAAUGUCGGGGGAGGGGAGUGAACGUUCAGUGCCCACGUGCAAUGAAUGGAGGCAGCGGGCUGGAGAAGGCCACAUCCACGCUGUCUCACCAGCUUCAGCAUCGCAAGCAGAACUCCCUCCUUGAGGAAUUUUCCCCGGGUGCUGGCAGCUCACCAGGGCCGCCUGGAGGCCAGAAGGUAAUCCUUCCCUUUCAAAUGGACCAGGCCCAUACUCACCGCCCUGAUCCCUAAAUUCAACGUUAACCCAAGAUCAACACUAGGUCAACACUAGCUCCUAUUCACAGACCAACCUUCCAGCUCAGCAUUCUUAUUAAGGCCAAAGGUAAUUUGUGCAAGACUGAUUUAAUACAAAUCCCUCCCAAACCUGAACGCGGUUGUCCUUCAGAGGGGGCCAGCUCCCUUUUAGGAGCCCACACGCUUCUUCCUCCUCCCGCUCAGCCCCGCAGCCACCCCAGGAACCACAGGUCUAAAUGAAAAUUUGACCUUUCUGGUUUUGCAGCAAGAAACAUCUAUGGAGGCUCCAAGGGAUGAUGAGGGAAGGACUGUAGGUGAAAUUUAUUAUAUUUUUAUUCAGAGGACUCUGCAUUAAGAAGGCAUGGACUAUACCUCCUUUUUUAUCAGUGGCUUGACUUUGGAUUUGUGAAAAGGAAGGCUUCACCAAGAUGGCGGCUUUCAAGAAUGCAUAGGAGUUUAUCCAGAAGGAAGAAGGAGGCAUCCUACAGAAUGUGGGGCAGGAGCCCAGACAUGAAGGGCAUACUUUGGGAAUGUCCAGUUCUCCAUUGUGAUAAGAGCAUUGGUGCAUAGACAGGCUGGAGUAGAUGGUAAGGUGAGCCAGAACUACUAAAAGAAUCUUCUGAGUAAUACAGUGGAGUUUGGAUUGUAAGCUCCUUAGACAGGAACUGUGACAUUCCCCCCUUCCCCCACUCCCUGGCAUCCAAUACAAAGCCUGACCCACAGUAGGUGCCCAAUGAAUGUUUUCUGAAUGAAUGAGAGCUUUCUUGGAGCGAUGAGGAACCAUCACAGUUUUUAAGCAGAGCCAUAAUGUUACUUCUUUGGGAAAGACAAUUUUGUACUGAAAAAAAGAUGAUAUUGGGCAAACCAAAAACAGAGGAAGAAUUAGGAGGCUGUUAGGCAAAGGAUGACAUAAAAUAGGAUAGUGACAGUGGGAACUGAGAUUGGAAGAUCUACUUGAGACUUUUGAAUGAGGUUGGAAUGACCAUAGGAGAUAAAGCAGAGGGAUGAGUCCAAAACAGCCCUGAGAUUUCUUGCUGGGGAAACCAGGUAGAUGAUGCAGCCACUGAAUGAGAAAGAAAAUUAGGGAAAAGGGUCAGAUUGUCAAACUGGGGUAAUAAACGCAAUUUUGUGUAUAUUGAGUUUGAGAGACCUGAGAAUGACAUUUUUAUUUUUAAUUUUUUACUUUUUUGUCUUUUUAGGGCCACACCAGCAUAUGGAAUUUCCUGGGCUAGGGGAUCAAAUUGAAGCUGUAGCUGCUGGCCUAUGCAACAGCCACAGCAAUGCCAGAUCCAAGCCACAUCUGGGACCUACACCACAGCUCAUGGCAAGGCUGAAUCCUUAACCCACUGAGCGGGGCCAGGGAUUGAACCCCCAUCCUCAUGGAUACUAGCCAGGUUCAUUACCACUGAGCCACAAUGGGAACUCCUGAGAAUAAUGUUUACAAAUUGUGGAUCUUAAACCACUCAUGGCUUAUGAGUUGAUACAAAUAUUUUUAAAUGAUCCAUUUUAAAGUGUAAUAUAUAUGUUAAGUUUAUUGUCGUUUCAUAGAACUUUCAUUUCCAUAGCAUAUAUAUAUAUAUAUAUAUAGAACUGACAUAAAAAUAUUUUCUACUGUAUAUCAGGAAAAUAGUUUGAGACCCUUUGCUCCUGGGUACCAAGUGGUGUGUGAAGUCAAGAGAGCCAUCUGUGCACAUUUUCCAACUUUGUAUGCAGUGACUUCACGUGAAUGGCUUAAAAUCGGGAACCUCAUGCCACAGAAGUCAGAAAAUACCACCACAUGUGAUUUCCUCCCCUGUAGUGAGCCAGCAUACCUCUGGGUGGAACCAUCUCAUGGAUGUUAGUUAUGCAGGUAUGAAGGUCAGUAUAGAGACCUGGGCAGAAGUCAUUUAUUUGGAAAUAAAAAUACUGAGAGUGCAUGGAAUUGGCAGGGAGAGUUUUUUAGAAAGAGUAAAGAGAGUAGAAGAUAGAAUUCUACAGAACAUCGCAUUCUGUGGAAGGUAGGAGGAAGACAGGGGAGUGAAAGAAAUUGUGAGAGGUUGUCAAAGUGGGGAUAGAAAAUGAGAGAGAGAGAUGUUUUAUAGAAGUCAAGAGAGAAAGGAGUUUAAAAAGUAGGAUCAACCCUGUUGAUUAAAUAGUAUGGACUGAGGAAAGAGCUAUGAGAUUUCCUAGUUAGGAAGGCAUUGGUGACCCCUAAAACCAAUUUUAGUUUAACAGAGGGGUGGAGGCAGGAAGUCAGUAAGAGAAAGAGGUGAGGAUGCCAAGAGAGUAAGUGUAGACUACUUUCAAGACAUUUUAUAGAGAAGGAAAGGAGACCUGGCUGUAGACUGAGUGAAAGGAAAGCAUGAAGAGAGUGAAAGCCUGCUUAUGAGAUCUAUCCAAGGAUACCUGAACCCUCCCAAGCCCCACGGUGGCUGGAACCCACGCGUUAGUCAUGGAGUCAGUCUGUCUGGUGAUGUGCUUUCCCCAUUGAUGUUUGUAGGUCCAGGAAUUAGAUCAGAGAGGAGGGUUUCUGGGUUUGGAAACUGGCUGAGCAAAUUGACCAGAAGUGAUGAAAAUGAGGAACCGAUGCUAAUUUAAAAAGAGAUUUCUUUUCUAGCUAAGAUGUUACACAGUUGACAUGACACAUUCGUAUUGUUAGAAAUCUAAACAAAGCCAGGGAACAAAAGAUGGACUAUGAGGGUUCCCCCAUGGCCCCUACCUCAUUAGGUAAUUAUGUAACAAUUUUGGUAGAUAUCUUCUAGAUGCUUCUCCAGAGGUGCGUGUAGUAAUUAAGAGGCCUGAGUCAGGCAGACCAGGGCUUGGGUCCAGUACUGCUUUAAGGCCUUGAGCAAUGUACAUAGUCUUUUAAUCCCUCAGUUUCCUAAUCUGUAAGAUGGAAGUAUCAUAGCAUCUGUCUCACAGGGGUGCAGUGUGUAUUAAAAGAGAUAAUGCCCAUAAAUUGCUUAGAACAGUAUUUGGUAAGCACAGUGAUCACUUGACAUAUACCUAUACAUCUCUACACACAUUUGUGUACACACAACACACACGCCCCUAUGGGAAAGAGACCUCAGAUCUGUAUGACUACACAUGUACAUACAUCACAUGAGUAAGGAGGAAGACCUGAAAAAUGUUGGUGAUUUGAAUGGGCUGGAGGAAGCUACCCUAAGGCAGAAUGAUGGAAGGGGGAGGUGGAAGGUCAUGGUCAGAGGAUGGAGGUGGAAGGUCAUGGUCAGAGGAUGGAGUUUCAAGCACAAGACUUCAGGGGGGAAGCACUUCUAGAGGAUGACAGGUCCCAGAAGGCAACUGCUCUACGUUUCGAAAGUGGAGAGGAGAUGAAGAAUCUUUUCCUCACGGGAGUUCCUGUUGUGGCUCAGUGGUAACGAACCUGACCAGUAACCUGAGGACGCAGGUUCCAUCCAUGGCU